CAGUAGCCGCGGGAAUACAGAGGGUGCAAGCGUUAAUCGGAUUUACUGGGCGUAAAGGGCGCGUAGGUGGUUAUGUAAGUGAGAUGUGAAAUCCCCGGGCUUAACCUGGGGACUGCGCUUAAUACAGGCAGUCUAGAGUGAGGAAGAGGGUUGUGGAAUUCCCAGUGUAGAGGUGAAAUUCGUAGAUAUUGGGAAGAACACCGGUGGCGAAGGCGGCAACCUGGUCCUUGACUGACGCUGAGGCGCGAAAGCGUGGGGAGCAAACAGGAUUAGAUACCCGCGUAGUCCCUGUCUCUUAUAC
rnacentral:rRNA from 1 species